CAGCAGCCACGGGAAUACGAAGGGUGCAAGCGUUACUCGGAAUUACUGGGCGUAAAGCGUGCGUAGGUGGUUGUUUAAGUCUGCUGUGAAAGCCCUGGGCUCAACCUGGGAAUUGCAGUGGAUACUGGGCGACUAGAGUAAGGUAGAGGAUAGUGGAAUUUCCGGUGUAGCAGUGAAAUGCGUAGAGAUCGGAAGGAGCAUCUGUGGCGAAGGCGACUAUCUGGGCCAUUACUGACACUGAGGCACGAAAGCGUGGGGAGCAAACAGGAUUAGAUACCCCCGUAGUCCCUGUCUCUUAUAC
rnacentral:rRNA from 1 species